rnacentral:rRNA from 1 species
UACCCGCGGCCCGAGUGGUGCUCAUUAUUAUUGAGCCUAAAGCGUCCGUAGCUGGCCGGGCAAAUUUCCGGGUAAAUCGGGCCGCUCAACGGUCCGAAUUCCGGAGACACUGCUCGGCUUGGGAUCGGGAGAGGGUGAAGGUACUCCCGGGGUAGGGGUAAAAUCCUGUAAUCCUGGGGGGACCACCAGUGGCGAAGGCGUUCACCUAGAACGAAUCCGACAGUGAGGGACGAAGCCCUAGGGCGCAAACGGGAUUAGAUACCCCGGUAGUCUAGGGUGUAAACGCUGCAGACUUGGUGUUGGGGGUCCUGCGUGGGCUCCCAGUGCCGGAGCGAAGGUGUUGAGUCUGCCGCUUGGGGAGUACGGUCGCAAGACUGAAACUUAAAGGAAUUGGCGGGAGAGCACCGCAACGGGAGGAGCGUGCGGUUCAAUUGGAUUCAACGCCGGAAAACUCACCGGAGGCGACGGAGGGAUGAAAGCCAGGCUGAAGACCUUGCCCGAUUCUCCGAGAGGUGGUGCAUGGCCGUCGUCAGUUCGUACCGUAAGGCGUUCUGUUAAGUCAGAUAACGAACGAGACCCUCGCCGUUAGUCGCGAUCUUACAAGCGAUUGUAGGAGCACACUAGCGGGAUCGCUGCCGUUAAGGCAGAGGAAGGAGAGGUCUACGGUAGGUCCGUAUGCCCCGAAUCUUCCGGGCAACACGCGCGCUACAAAGGUGGGGACAAUGGGACCCGACCUCGAAAGGGGGAGGCAAUCCUGAAACCCCAUCGUAGUCUGGAUCGAGGGCUGUAACUCGCCCUCGUGAAAAUGGAUUCCGUAGUAAUCGCGGGUCAACAUCCCGCGGUGAAUGUGCCCCUGCUCUU